rnacentral:rRNA from 1 species
UACAGAGGUGGCAAGCGUUGUUCGGAAUUACUGGGCGUAAAGGGCGCGUAGGCGGCCUUCUAAGUCAGACGUGAAAUCCCCCGGCUUAACCUGGGAACUGCGUCUGAUACUGGGGGGCUUGAGUAUGGGAGAGGGAUGUAGAAUUCCAGGUGUAGCGGUGAAAUGCGUAGAUAUCUGGAGGAAUACCGGUGGCGAAGGCGGCAUCCUGGACCAUUACUGACGCUGAGACGCGAAAGCUAGGGGAGCGAACGGG